AGAGCGAACGCUGGCGGCAGGCUUAACACAUGCAAGUCGAGCGGGCACCUUCGGGUGUCAGCGGCAGACGGGUGAGUAACACGUGGGAACGUGCCCUUUGGUUCGGAACAACUCCGGGAAACUGGAGCUAAUACCGGAUAAGCCCUUCGGGGGAAAGAUUUAUCGCCAAAGGAUCGGCCCGCGUCUGAUUAGCUUGUUGGUGAGGUAAUGGCUCACCAAGGCGACGAUCAGUAGCUGGUCUGAGAGGAUGAUCAGCCACACUGGGACUGAGACACGGCCCAGACUCCUACGGGAGGCAGCAGUGGGGAUAUUGGACAAUGGGCGCAAGCCUGAUCCAGCCAUGCAGCGUGAGUGAUGAAGGCCCUAGGGUUGUAAAGCUCUUUCGGCGGGGACGAUAAUGACGGUACCCGCAGAAGAAGCCCCGGCUAACUUCGUGCCAGCAGCCGC
rnacentral:rRNA from 1 species